rnacentral:lncRNA from 1 species
GGGCAAGCUUUCUUAGAUGAAGAAGCCAGACACAGAAGACACCAUUGGAAGUAUUUGAUACACACAUGUCUUUCUUUGAGACCAGCUAACAGAGACUUCAGCUCGCACAGCAGCACAAAUGGCUGAGUGUUGGGGAUACAAGUGGCUGAGCGGCGAGCAGAGAAGCAGCGACUGAGCUCUGGAGACUACAGAUAGACGCAGCUAACUUCAGACGAGAGAUCAACUGCUGAGUCUGUUUAUGGGAACUAGAACAGAAAGUACAGGAAAGAUAUCCUCUCUUUCUUACAACCUGAUCUAACUCAUUGUGGAGAUGCUGAGAGCCUGCUCUGGGGCUUCCUCACGUUCCUGAUUGAGAAAUGAAGGCCCUGGAGCCACGAGGCGGCAGUGUGUGGGGAGGGGCAGCACAGAUCCCUGAGGAUCCCAGAGGCAGACGCUUACCAGUGCUCUAACCUGUACUGGAUUUGGGACACGCUGGUGCCUAUCACAGUAAAACCGGCCAUUUGGUAAAGUGAGGCAGAAGGCGAGGGCCUGAACUUAGCUCCUCCAGCCCUCUUGCAGUUGGCUGGGAUCCAGGAGCUCAUGGUCUCUGGGGACAGUUGUGUAAAGUAGCUGAUGAUGCUGGUUGGAGAGCUUGCUCAGGGCAUUGCUAUAGUCACAGAGCAGGAGGCCUGUGGGCUAGGGAUGGCAUGAGAUACUCAGGCAGACUUGGGUGUAUGCAACAGGGCAUGCAAGCCUUCAUGGGGGCUGAGCCAGGGGGUGCCCAACUGAUUUAGAGCCAGUCCAGAAGGAACAGGCCAGAACUCACAAACUGUAGGCAUCCCCACCACUGCAGGCAGGCAGAGCCAUGACCACAGCACCAGGAACAUUUUUGCCUUAAAGGCCAGAGAGGGCCAGGCAUGGUGGCUCAUGCCUAUAAUCCCAGCACUUUGGGAGGCCGAGGCGGGCCGAACACGAGGUCAAGAGGUCGAGACUAUCCUGGCCAACAUGGUGAAACCCCAUCUCUACUAAAAAUAGAAAAAUUAGCUGGGCAUGGUGGCCAUGCCUGUAGUUCCAGCUACUCAGGAGGCUGAGGCAGGAGAAUUGCUUGAACCCGGGAGGCAGAGGUUGCAGUGAGCUGAGAUCAUGCCACUGCACUCC